GACGAACGCUGGCGGCGUGCUUAACACAUGCAAGUCGAACGGAAAGGCCCUGCUUUUGUGGGGUGCUCGAGUGGCGAACGGGUGAGUAACACGUGAGUAACCUGCCCUUGACUUUGGGAUAACUUCGGGAAACUGGGGCUAAUACCGGAUAGGAGCUCCUGCUGCAUGGUGGGGGUUGGAAAGUUUCGGCGGUUGGGGAUGGACUCGCGGCUUAUCAGCUUGUUGGUGGGGUAGUGGCUUACCAAGGCUUUGACGGGUAGCCGGCCUGAGAGGGUGACCGGCCACAUUGGGACUGAGAUACGGCCCAGACUCCUACGGGAGGCAGCAGUGGGGAAUAUUGCACAAUGGGCGGAAGCCUGAUGCAGCAACGCCGCGUGCGGGAUGACGGCCUUCGGGUUGUAAACCGCUUUCGCCUGUGACGAAGCGUGAGUGACGGUAAUGGGUAAAGAAGCACCGGCUGACUACGUG
rnacentral:rRNA from 1 species